rnacentral:rRNA from 1 species
AGUGAACGCUGGCGGUAGGCCUAACACAUGCAAGUCGAACGGCAGCACAGUAAGAGCUUGCUCUUACGGGUGGCGAGUGGCGGACGGGUGAGGAAUACAUCGGAAUCUACUUUUUCGUGGGGGAUAACGUAGGGAAACUUACGCUAAUACCGCAUACGACCUACGGGUGAAAGCAGGGGAUCUUCGGACCUUGCGCGAUUGAAUGAGCCGAUGUCGGAUUAGCUAGUUGGCGGGGUAAAGGCCCACCAAGGCGACGAUCCGUAGCUGGUCUGAGAGGAUGAUAAGACACACGGGAGCGGAGACGGGGUCCAGACUCCUGCGGGAGGCAGCAGUGGGGAAUAUUGGACAAUGGGCGGAAGCCUGAUCCAGCCAUACCGAGUGGGUGAAGAAGGCCUUCGGGUUGUAAAGCCGUUUUGUUGGGAAAGAAAAGCAGCAGGUUAAUACCCCGCUGUUCUGACGGUACCCAAAGAAUAAGCACCGGCUAACUUCGUG